rnacentral:lncRNA from 1 species
CAUUAUCAAGAAGGUAGAAUAACCGCAAGGCUUGAGAGGAGGGGUGAGAAAAAGUCGUAUAAAAGGCGAGAGAAAUGUCGACAGGUAUCAGUCGAGCGAGUAUCUCCGACACGGUAAUAACUGCUGUGUACUAUUUGCCAUCAGCUGCAUUCUUCAUCGUAUUAUCAGUUCUCAAUCAUGGUCGUACAUAAGGGCAAGGAUAAGUCGACAGGGAUUAGUCGAGUGAGCAUCUCCGACACGGUAACAGCAACUGCAGUGCACCAUGUGUCACCAACUGCAUUCUUCGUCGAAUUGCUAGUUUAAAUCAUGGCAAACUAUGGCCUCAUGCUGCGGUUUUGUGUUGCAGCGUUGAUGGCUGGGUCGGCCACUGGUGUAUCGAUGUUUCCUGGGUAUGGCGGAUAACAAAUUGCAACGCCGCCACCUUACUACACAACAUACGACACGACCAGUUGCUACACCGAGGCCCCCAAGUACUGAACCAAGGCUCCAGAUUAUUAUACCACAACUUAUGCUGCCCCGAACUACUUACACCGAAUCCCCGCAGUAUUAUUCUUCCCCUAGCUACACUACAAAAGGGUCGAGUACUACGUCGAGGCUCCCAAGUACUACAUCGCCACGGCACCGGAGUACAAAAACGGUCGAACACUACACAGAAGCAAUCAUGGUAACUAUGGCGUUGUGCUACUGUGAGUGUUGUAACGUUGAUGGCUGGAUCAACCACUGGUGUGCCGAUUUCUCCUGGGUAUGGCGGGCAUGAAUAAUCCGUAGCAACCGGUUAUUGCACUGGGCCCCCAAAUACUACACCACCAAGGGUCCGGAGUAUUACACCACAACUUGUACUGCCCCGAUGUUACUACGCAGAAGUUCCGAAGUAUUUUUCUUCCCCGAGUUUCACUACCUUCACCACGCCGAUUACUAAACAACAACGUCAACAACUACUUACCAUACGAAGGUCUCCAGUACUACGCCACAAUGGCUCCUGACUACUACACCGAGUAUCUAACUUAUCACACCACUGAAGCGCCCAAGUACUGCACUACAACCUACGUUGAUCCAGGUUAAACCACGAAGGCAGCGGAGUACUACACC